AGCACCCUGCUUCCACCGAAGCCUUACGUUCCACGUGGGGGAUUGAUGUAGGUGGAGUGGGGUGCU
rnacentral:ncRNA from 1 species